GAAUUAGUAACUUAAUUGGUAAAGGACUUCCCUGUCACGGAGGUAGAUGAGGGUUCGAGACCCUUCUAAUUCG